GCAACAUUUAGUCCAUUUUGCCCGCAACCAACUCCAUAUCAGCCAAUCACAAGCCGACUCUCUUAGCCAAUCACAAUCCAGCAGUAGUAAGCAUCAGCAGCAGAACCCAACUACUACAUCACAGCAAUUGUUCAACGCAACUCCCACCAUCACCGCCCCUGCUCAAAUGCAGCAAUCAAAAUCACCAAUCAACCAAACCAGUAAUCGAAACAACUCAGCCACGACAGCAGCGGAUGAAAGAAUGCACGAGCACUCGAUGCCAAUGGAGCAAAGCUAAAAUAAGCAACCGCGAGUGGUUCAAACAAUACAAAACAAAAUGAAUCUGUAACAUAAACUCAAUACAACUCUUUAUGCAACCGUUCAUAUUUUGCUCUCAGUAUUUUCUUCACUCCUUUUAUAUUUUACUGCCUUAAAUACUGUAAAUUGACCCGAGGUCACUUUAAUAACCUUUCAUAAUUUCUCUAUUUUAUAUCAAAGUUCUAUAUAUUCUUUUUGUACUUCGCAAUGUGAAGUUUACCAUUUGAAUUUUAUCGUUUAAUUGAUAUCUAGUAAUGUUGUGUGGCAUGAUCAAUUUGGCUAGUGUGUCGUAGGAGCUAGUUAGAAUAGAUCUCAGUAUUUAAUGUCUCUUUUUCUCGGAAUUCUUUCUGCUGUAAUGACUGUUCCAACAAUAGUGUCCCAAAUGCAAUUGUGCAUUCUACUUCUCUUCAAUACCGCUGCAGUUUAAAAGAACUUAACUCGAUGUUUGUACAUUUUUUUCACACCGAUUUCAAAGUAUAUAAAGAUGAGCUCCAAUUAAGUUUCGAUGUUUCGAAUUCCUUGUGCAAACCUUAUUAUUUGGCACCUAUAAAGCCCUGGCUCUUUAUCUAUCGAAUCAAAUGUGUUUAACUGAAAUAAUUGUUUUAAUUUUAGGGCAAAUUUGCAAUGCCCGAGAGUGUCUAUUGUUUUCUAUUUUCACUUUUUCAUUUUAUUUAGCAAUGGUGCUAAUAUAGAAAUCUAGUUUAAUUGUAAUAAAUAAUGAUAAUACGGCUUCUGUGUUUGAAAAACAGCUAUAUUGAAUGUAUCAAAAU